AGCUCCAAUAGCGUAUAUUAAAGUUGUUGAGGUUAAAAAGCUCGUAGUUGAACCUUGGGCCUGGCUGGCCGGUCCGCCUCACCGCGUGCACUGGUCCGGCCGGGCCUUUCCCUCUGGGGAGCCCCAUGCCCUUUACUGGGCGUGGCGGGGAACCAGGACUUUUACUUUGAAAAAAUUAGAGUGUUCAAAGCAGGCCUAUGCUCGAAUACAUUAGCAUGGAAUAAUAGAAUAGGACGUGUGGUUCUAUUUUGUUGGUUUCUAGGACCGCCGUAAUGAUUAAUAGGGACAGUCGGGGGCGUCAGUAUUCAAUUGUCAGAGGUGAAAUUCUUGGAUUUAUUGAAGACUAACUACUGCGAAAGCAUUCGUCAAGGAUGUUUUCA
rnacentral:rRNA from 1 species